rnacentral:rRNA from 1 species
GACGAACGCUGGCGGCGUGCUUAACACAUGCAAGUCGAACGGAAAGGCCCUGCUUUUGUGGGGUGCUCGAGUGGCGAACGGGUGAGUAACACGUGAGUAACCUGCCCUUGACUUUGGGAUAACUUCAGGAAACUGGGGCUAAUACCGGAUAGGAGCUUCUGCUGCACGGUGGGGGUUGGAAAGUUUCGGCGGUUGGGGAUGGACUCGCGGCUUAUCAGCUUGUUGGUGGGGUAGUGGCUUACCAAGGCUUUGACGGGUAGCCGGCCUGAGAGGGUGACCGGCCACAUUGGGACUGAGAUACGGCCCAGACUCCUACGGGAGGCAGCAGUGGGGAAUAUUGCACAAUGGGCGGAAGCCUGAUGCAGCAACGCCGCGUGCGGGAUGACGGCCUUCGGGUUGUAAACCGCUUUCGCCUGUGACGAAGCGUGAGUGACGGUAAUGGGUAAAGAAGCACCGGCUAACUACGUG